rnacentral:tRNA from 1 species
GGAGAGGUGGCCGAGUGGUCGAAGGCGCAGCACUGGAAAUGCUGUUCACCGCAAGGUGACGUGGGUUCAAAUCCCACUCUCUCCGCCA